UUUUAUUUCAUUGGCAUACAAGACAAAAUUGGAGUUUAUUAACAUAUUAAAAAAGAAACUCUAAAACGGUGGGACAAAGCAAAAAGAAAUCCUAAACAAUUCAAAAAAAAGAAGAAGAAAAAAAGAGAGAGACAUGUGAGACAAAUCUAUCUAAAAGGUGUGUGUUGUACGGUUUCAAUGGAACCACAACUUUCAAUGCCCUAAUC
rnacentral:lncRNA from 1 species